GGAAAAGGGGGCCUCGGGGCGGGUUCAGGGGCGAGCGCGGCGCCCCGGCUCCCCUGCCUGCAAGUCUGGUCUGUCCCGUGUUCACUCGGACGAAAUGAGGAUGACAGAGCCUAUCUUAGAGGGUUUGCUCUGUGCAGCCAGAGCCUAUGUCGUGCUGCGCGGCACCCGGCGAGGUGCUAAGAGGCCGCUCCCCGCUGUCGCCUCGUCGGCGGCGGCUGUCGCCGGGAGAGCACCCGGAGCAGAUGUGCUCUGCGAGCGCCAACGGGCCGGGUGGGAAGGGUACUUUUUUCAUCUCUGUCGUUCUGUACCUUCUAAAUUUCGAACCCAAUGAAAGUAUUGCCUUAAAGAAAAAGAAAAAACUUUUCUAAGUGCCAUCCAUUCCGUCAGCUGCGCGCCACUCUUGCUCCGCGAGAUCCGGAAUUCCCCGAGAUCUGCUUCCGUGGGUCCCAGCCGCCGCGCGGGGGCUCGGGACGGGUUUGGGGCGUUGGUUUUACUCGAGGUCUAUCCAGGUGGUAGCACUGCGUGAGAUGUCGCCGUUAGCGUCUCUGUCCCGUAGAUUAUUUGUGCGAGAGCAAUACUGUGAUACAUGAAGCUUUUUAAAAAUGUGUUGUUUAAGUUAAAAAAAAAUAAAAUGUGUCGUUUAAUUUUUUAAAAA